rnacentral:lncRNA from 1 species
CCGAUGCCCUGGCUAGCUGUCUAAAUCACCAACCAACCUCUCCACUCACCGGACCCUUUUGAUCACUCGACUAAGCAUGCCUCUCCUUAAUGUCAAUAUGUCUUGUCCAUUGCUGUUCUGGUUAGUGUUUAUUGGCUUAUUUCACUGUAGAGCCUCUAGUCCUGCUCACUAUACCUUAUCCAACCUAUUAGUUCCACCACCCACACAUGCAAUGACAUCUCCUGGUUUCAACGAUGUUUCUAGAGACAAUAUCUCUCUCUUCAUCACUCAAUACCUAGGUUUACCUCCACUGUAUUCACAUCCUACCAUACAUUUGUCUGUACAUUAUACCUUGAUGCUAUUUUAUCGCCCCCAGAAACCUCCUUUUACUCUAUGUUCCAGACGUUCUAGACGACCAAUUCUCAUAGCUUUUAGCCGUACCCUUAUUCUACUCCUCCUAUGUUCCUCUGGCGAUGUAGAGGUGAAUCCAGGCCCUGCAGUGCCUAGCUCCACUCCUAUUCCCCAGGCACUCUCUUUUGACGACUUCUGUAACCGUAAUAGCCUUGGUUUCAUGCAUGUUAACACUAGAAGCCUCCUCCCUAAGUUUGUUCUAUUCACUGCUUUAGCACACUCUGCCAACCCGGAUGUUCUAGCUGUGUCUGAAUCCUGGCUUAGGAAGACCACCAAAAAUUCAGACAUUUUAAUUCCAAACUACAACAUUUUCAGACAAGAUAGAACUGCCAAAGGGGGCAGUGUUGCAAUCUACUGCAAAGAUAGCCUGCAGAGUUCUGUCCUACUAUCCAGGUCUGUACCCAAACAAUUUGAACUUCUACUUUUAAAAAUCCACCUCUCUAAAAACAAGUCUCUCACCGUUGCCGCCUGCUAUAGACCACCCUCUGCCCCCAGCUGUGCUCUGGACACCAUAUGUGAACUGAUUGCCCCCCAUCUAUCUUCAGAGUUCGUGCUGCUAGGCGACCUAAACUGGAACAUGCUUAACACCCCAGCCAUCCUACAAUCUAAACUUGAUGCCCUCAAUCUCACACAAAUUAUCAAUGAAGCUACCA